GCGGGCAUGGACGGGCACGACCGGUCACUCAUAAAUGGCCUGUGACCAGCUAUUUUGCAAAUCACACACUUGUGAGGAACUUUGAGUUCUCAGCUUCCCAAGCUGAGAACGCGAGUUCGAUUCUCGUCGCCCGCUCCA
rnacentral:tRNA from 1 species